rnacentral:lncRNA from 9 species
AAAGGAGGUAACUAAAGGCAAAAAAGAAAAAAUAAUAGUGAAUAAUCCAAAAGCCAUAUAUUUCUUACUUGGGAAUGCUAACUGAUACACUUUUGAAAUACUGUUUAACCUAACCUAUUAUUGCAUUUCCGAAUCCCACACUGAUUUAUAACAUGAGACAGACUGGAAACAGUGCUGACUGGAAGAAGCCACUGGAAGUUCCAAAACAAGCUGGAAUAAUCCAUAAAACAGAUAACCCAUGUACAGAAAGUUACUGUAAGAUGCUCAGAUGCUCUCUCGCCUUCUGAUGCAAAUACUAUCCAUCGUCUUUUCUCAGGAAAGCACAGAAGCAAAAAAGGAGGGAAAAAUCACAAAAUAAGCCAUCCCCCAUUUUUACAGAUGAAAACACUGAGCUGAUAAAUAUCAAAGUCAGAAUUACACCACCAAAGAACUUCUCGCAGUUAAAUAGCACUUUAUACUUUUUAAAGGAUUUCACAUGUAUUACUUAAAUUUCUUUAACUUUCAUUAGAGUCUUCCUUGAUCGGAAAAGGAGUUCCUAAAGAUGGGUGGGAAUAUGUUAAGAUUUAUGUUCAUGAUACUUGGAUUAAAAUUUUUUCACAUAUAAGUAUAAAAGUUAGGAGUAAAAAUGCUAAGAAAAUGUUCAUUUUCUUUGAUUUUUCUUAAGCCAUGAAGUGUUAUAAAGUUACCUAUCUGUGAAAUUAUUAGUAUGAUUUUACAUAUUGUGGUCUUAAAUCACACAAAUAAGAUUUAGCCAUAUGUUCAGUCUAAAAGAAACGUAUCUAAAGGAAACUGAGGCUAAAAGAAAUUACUGCUUCUCUCAGUCAUCUCCAUAGUCAUCUCCAUUAGGAUUUAUACUUAGUUUCAAAUUACCUGAGCACAUUUUGCUGUGCCAUACACACAGUGUUUUGAGAAUUCCAAUACUCUGCAUAAUACUUGUGUAUAGAGAAUGUGCCUAUAAAAAGGGUUAACUCAUAAAUAAGUUAAAUUGUGUAGGGAGCAAGAGAAUAGAUAAGUGUAAUAAAAAAGAUUGAAAUGGAAAUAAAAGUGGGGCAGUUUCAGUGUAUUUUACAAUAAAGUGACAACUGUAUAAUAUUUAGAUUCAUUUAACACUCCUAUGCUACUUCCACAUCAUUAUUUUUGUAUUUUUUAAUUCCAGGCAUAUUUAAAUAAAGGUAAGUCUAAAAUGAUGUCAGGAUUGUUUUUCUAUGCUAGAAAUUCUAAAAAGUUGAUAGUUUGUAUUAUUUGUUGAGCCAAUACUUUAAAUUGCCUACUCAUCCAUUUUUGUUUUUGCUUUUGUCUGUUCAGGUUUUUUUUUUUUUUCAGUAUUUAGUAAUAUGCUGACAUAUUGUAGAAAAUGAAAAUUUUGAUUUUAUUUCUCAAGCAUAUGGACAAAUUGUAUUGGAAAGUAUAAAAACAGGGGUGCAAAUGUCUUUGGACAGAGCAAUGAAUGCCCUCUAGUGUUUCUUACAAGAAUAUCCAUUUUAAUAAUAGAAAAAUUGAG